rnacentral:rRNA from 1 species
CCUACGGUCGGCAGCAGUGGGGAAUAUUGGGCAAUGGGCGCAAGCCUGACCCAGCAACGCCGCGUGAAGGAAGAAGGCUUUCGGGUUGUAAACUUCUUUUCUCAGGGACGAAGAAAGUGACGGUACCUGAGGAAUAAGCCACGGCUAACUACGUGCCAGCAGCCGCGGUAAUACGUAGGUGGCAAGCGUUAUCCGGAUUUAUUGGGUGUAAAGGGCGUGUAGGCGGGAGAGCAAGUCAGAUGUGAAAACUACGGGCUCAACCGUGGGCCUGCAUUUGAAACUGUGUUUCUUGAGUACUGGAGAGGCAGGCGGAAUUCCGGGUGUAGCGGUGAAAUGCGUAGAUAUCAGGAGGAACACCAGUGGCGAAGGCGGACUGCUGGACAGUAACUGACGCUGAGGCGCGAAAGCGUGGGUAGCAAACAGGAUUAGAUACCCUUGUAGUC